rnacentral:rRNA from 1 species
GUCGUUGAUUUCACACUGCCGAGAAAAGCCUCUAGAUAGAAAAUAGGUGCCCGUACCGCAAACCGACACAGGUAGUCAAGAUGAGAAUUCUAAGGUGAGCGAGCGAACUCUCGUUAAGGAACUCGGCAAAAUGACCCCGUAACUUCGGGAGAAGGGGUGCUCUUUAGGGUUAACGCCCAGAAGAGCCGCAGUGAAUAGGCCCAAGCGACUGUUUAUCAAAAACACAGGUCUCUGCUAAACCGUAAGGUGAUGUAUAGGGGCUGACGCCUGCCCGGUGCUGGAAGGUUAAGAGGAGUGGUUAGCUUCUGCGAAGCUACGAAUCGAAGCCCCAGUAAACGGCGGCCGUAACUAUAACGGUCCUAAGGUAGCGAAAUUCCUUGUCGGGUAAGUUCCGACCCGCACGAAAGGCGUAACGAUUUGGGCACUGUCUCAACGAGAGACUCGGUGAAAUCAUAGUACCUGUGAAGAUGCAGGUUACCCGCGACAGGACGGAAAGACCCCGUGGAGCUUUACUGUAGCCUGAUAUUGAAAUUCGGCACAGCUUGUACAGGAUAGGUAGGAGCCUUUGAAACGUGAGCGCUAGCUUACGUG